GAUGAACGCUGGCGGCGUGCCUAAUACAUGCAAGUCGAGCGAACAGACGAGGAGCUUGCUCCUCUGACGUUAGCGGCGGACGGGUGAGUAACACGUGGAUAACCUACCUAUAAGACUGGGAUAACUUCGGGAAACCGGAGCUAAUACCGGAUAAAAUAUUGAACCGCAUGGUUCAAUAGUGAAAGACGGUUUUGCUGUCACUUAUAGAUGGAUCCGCGCCGCAUUAGCUAGUUGGUAAGGUAACGGCUUACCAAGGCAACGAUGCGUAGCCGACCUGGGAGGGUGAUCGGCCACACGGGAACUGAGACACGGUCCAGACUCCUACGUGAGGCAGCAGUAGGGAAUCGUCCGCAAUGGGCGAAAGCCUGACGGAGCAACGCCGCGUGAGUGAUGAAGGUCUUCGGAUCGGAAAACUCUGUUAUUAGUGAAGAACAAAUGUGUAAGUAACUAUGCACGUCUUGACGGUACCUAAUCAGAAAGCCACGGCUAACUACGUG
rnacentral:rRNA from 1 species